UCUAAAGAUCAAUUGAAAAGCGCGUUUAGCUGAUCCAAUUCACAAAGGGGAUCGCAGUGACCAGGCCCAGGCGACUGUUUAGCAAAAACACAAGUUUCCGUAAAGUCGUAAGACCAUGUAUGGAGGCUGACGCUUGCCCAGUGCCGGAAGGUCAAGGAAGUUGGCGACCUAAUGACAGGGGAGUCGGCGACCGAAGCCAUGGUGGACGGCGGCCGUAACUAUAACGGUCCUAAGGUAGCGAAAUUCCUUGUCGGGUAAGUUUCGAUCCGCACAAAAGGUGUAAAGAUCUAGGCACUGUCUCGGA
rnacentral:ncRNA from 1 species